UUCUAAAAUGGAGUGGUUGGUGUAUUGUAUAGUUCUAGGGAUUGGAUUUCACUCAAAACCAACCAAAUGACUCCUCCCACAAUAUUAUGAUGUUCCCCAAGUUUUGGACUCAAUCCGAUAUCGAUUGGUCCAUGAAAUCGGACAAUUCAGGUUCGUACGAAGUUCGUUCUUAAAUGGGGUGGUUGGUGUCUUGGAUAGUUCUAGAGAUUGGAUUUCACUCAAAACCCACCGAAUGACUCCUCCCACAAUAUUAUGAUGUUCCCCAAGUUUUGGACUCAAUCCGAUAUCGAUUGGUCCUUGAAAUCGGACAAUUCGGGUUCGUACGAAGUUCGUUCUGAAAUGGGAUGGUUGGUGUAUUGUAUAGUUCUAGGGAUUGGAUUUAACUCAAAACCCACCAAAUGACUCCUCCCACAAUAUUAUGAUGUUCCCCCAGUUUCGGACUCAAUCCAAUAUCAAUUGGUCCUUGAAAUCGGACAAUUCAGGUUCGUACGAUGUUCAUUCUGAAAUGGGGUGGUUUGUGUAUUGUAUAGUUCUGGAGAUUGGAUUUCACUCAGAACCCACCAAAUGACUCCUGCCACAAUAUUAUGAUGUUCCCCAAGUUUGGACUCAAUCCGAUAUCGAUUGGUGCUGGAAAUCGAACAAUUCAGGUUCGUUCGAAGUUCGUUCAUAAAUGGGGUGGUUGGUGUAUUGUAUAGUUCUAGAGAUUGGAUUUCUCUCAAAACCCACCGAAUGACUCCUCCCAGAAUAUUAUGAUGUUCCCCAAGUUUUGGACUCAAUCCGAUAUCGAUUGGUGCUUGAACUCGGACAAUUCAGGUUCGUACGAAGUUCGUUCAUAAAUGGGGUGCUUGGUGUAUUGUAUAGUUCUAGAGAUUGGAUUUCACUCAAAACCCACCCAAUGACUCCUCCCACAAUAUUAUGAUGUUCCCCAAGUUUUGGACUGAAUCCGAUAUCGAUUGUUGCUUGAAAUCGAACAAUUCAGGUUCGUACGAAGUUCGUUCUGAAAUGGAGUGGUCGGUGUAUUGUAUAGUUUUAGGGUUUGGAUUUCACUCAAAACCCACCAAAUGACUCCUCCCAUAAUAUUAUGAUGUUCCCCAAGUUUUGGACUCAAUCCGAUAUCGAUCGGACCACAAAAUUUGACAAUUCAGGUUCGUACGAAGUUCAUUCAUAAAUGGGGUGGUUGGUGUAUUGUAUAGUUCUAGAGAUUGGAUUUCACCCAAAACCCACCAAAUGACUCCUCCCAGAAUAUUAUGAUGUUCCCCAAAUUUUGGGCUCAAUUCGAUAUCGAUUGGUCCUUGAAAUCGGACAAUUCAGGUUCGUACGAAGUUCGUUCUGAAAUGGGAUGGUUGGUGUAUUGUAUAAUUCUAGGGAUUGGAUUUAACUCAAAACCCGCCAAAUGACUCCUCCCACAAUAUUAUGAUGUUCCCCCAGUUUCGGACUCAAUCCAAUAUCAAUUGGUCCUUGAAAUCGGACAAUUCAGGUUCGUACGAUGUUCAUUCUGAAAUGGGGUGGUUGGUGUAUUGUAUAGUUCUGGAGAUUGGAUUUCACUCAGAACCCACCAAAUGACUCCUGCCACAAUAUUAUGAUAUUCCCCAGGUUUGGACUCAAUCCGAUAUCGAUUGGUGCUGGAAAUCGGACAAUUCAGGUUCGUACGAAGUUCGUUCAUAAAUGGGGUGGUUGGUGUAUUGUACAGCUCUAGAGAUUGUAUUUCACUCAAAACCCACCAAAUGACUCCUCCCACAAUAUUCUGAUGUUCCCCAAGUUUUGGACUCAAUCCGAUAUCGAUUGGUCCUUGAAAUCGGACAAUUCACGUUCGUACAAAGUUCGUUCAUAAAUGGGGUGGUUGGUGUAUUGUACAGCUCUAGAGAUUGUAUUUCACUCAAAACCCACCAAAUGACUCCUCCCACAAUAUUAUGAUGUUCCCCAAGUUUUGGACUCAAUCCGAUAUCGAUUGUUGCUUGAAAUCGAACAAUCAGGUUCGUACGAUGUCAUUCUGAAAUGGGGUGGUUUGUGUAUUGUAUAGUUCUGGAGAUUGGAUUUCACUCAAAACCCACCAAAUGACUCCUCCCAUAAUAUUAUGAUGUUCCCCAAGUUUUGGACUCAAUCCGAUAUCGAUCGGACCACAAAAUUUGACAAUUCAGGUUCGUACGAAGUUCAUUCAUAAAUGGGGUGGUUGGUGUAUUGUAUAGUUCUAGAGAUUGGAUUUCACUCAAAACCCACCAAAUGACUCCUCCCACAAUAUUGUGAUGUUCCCCAAGUUUUAGACUCAAUCCGAUAUCGAUUGGUGCUUGAAAUCGGACAAUUCAGGUUCGUACGAAAUUCGUUCUGAAAUGGAGUGGUUGGUGUAUUGUAUAGUUCUAGGGACUGGAUUUCACCCAAAACCAACCAAAUGACUCCUCCCACAAUAUUAUGAUGUUCCCCAAGUUUUGGACUCAAUCCGAUAUCGAUUGGUCCUUGAAAUCGGACAAUUCAGGUUCGUACGAAGAUCGUUCAUAAAUGGGGUGGUUGGUGUAUUGUAUAGUCCUAGAGAUUGGAUUUCACUCACAACCCACCAAAUGACUCCUCCCACAAUAUUAUGAUGUUCCCGAAGUUUCGGACACAAUCCGAUAUCGAUUGGUCCUUGAAAUCGGACAAUUCAGGUUCCUACGAAGUUCGUUCUGAAAUGGGGUGGUUGGUGUAUUGUAUAGUCCUAGAGAUUGGAUUUCAC
rnacentral:lncRNA from 1 species